GAAAUACUCCCUCUGUCCCAAAAUUCUUGUCUUAGAUUUGUCUAAAUACGGAUGUAUCAAGUCACGUUUUAGUAUUAGAUACAUCCGUAUCUAGACAAAUCUAAGACAAGAAUUUUGGGACGGAGGGAGUAGUUA
rfam:Triticum aestivum genome assembly, contig: Triticum_aestivum_CS42_TGACv1_scaffold_375588_5AL